GAUAAACGCUGGCGGCGUGCCUAAUACAUGCAAGUCGUACGAGCGAAAUCUAGCUUGCUAGAUCUAGCGAGUGGCGAACGGGUGAGUAAUACGUAAGCAACCUACCUACAAGGACUGGGAUAACACUUGGAAACGAGCGCUAAUACCGGAUACGUAAUAAGAGGGCAUCCUCCUAUUAUUAAAGGUUCAAAACACAAGUAGAUGGGCUUACGGUGCAUUAGCCAGUUGGCGGGGUAACGGCCCACCAAAGCGAUGAUGCAUAGCCGGCCUGAGAGGGUGAACGGCCACAUUGGGACUGAGACACGGCCCAG
rnacentral:rRNA from 1 species